rnacentral:rRNA from 1 species
CCUACGGGGGGCAGCAGUGGGGAAUAUUGCGCAAUGGGCGAAAGCCUGACGCAGCGACGCCGCGUGAGGGAUGAAGGUCUUCGGAUCGUAAACCUCUGUCAGCAGGGAAGAACGGUCACUGUGCUAAUCAGCAGUGAAUUGACGGUACCUGCAAAGGAAGCACCGGCUAACUCCGUGCCAGCAGCCGCGGUAAUACGGAGGGUGCGAGCGUUAAUCGGAAUUACUGGGCGUAAAGCGCUCGUAGGCGGUAUGUCAAGUCAAGGGUGAAAUCCCCGGGCUCAACGUGGGAACUGCCUUUGAAACUGGCAGACUGGAGUGUGGGAGAGGAUGGUGGAAUUCCAGGUGUAGGAGUGAAAUCCGUAGAUAUCUGGAGGAACAUCAGUGGCGAAGGCGACUAUCUGGCACAUAACUGACGCUGAGGAGCGAAAGCGUGGGUAGCAAACAGGAUUAGAUACCCGGGUAGUC